rnacentral:rRNA from 1 species
ACGGGAAACCGGAGCUAAUACCGGAUAAUAUAUUGAACCGCAUGGUUCAAUAGUGAAAGACGGUUUUGCUGUCACUUAUAGAUGGAUCCGCGCCGCAUUAGCUAGUUGGUAAGGUAACGGAUUACCAAGGCAACGAUGCGUAGCCGACCUGAGAGGGUGAUCGGCCACACUGGAACUGAGACACGGUCCAG